CGGUCGGUCAAGGCAGGUCAGCAGCUGCUAUCAUCCCUGCAUGAGAGCAACAGUCCAACUCUCAGCCGCGUCACUGUCCUAUCCUCACCUGAGUACCUGAGACACUUUUCUUAUUGGCUUUGCUUGUGUGAACUUUCUGUAUCACCCGUAAAAAAAAAGAUAUACAUCAUUGCCAUCUAAAAUGCUACUAGAAGCGAGGCCUUCCUGCAGCCUUUCUUUGCGGUGCAGCUCUCAGAACAGGAUGGACGGAUUUUGGUGUAUCAUAAAAGCGGGCGAUUCCGUGUGUUGAAAAUGGGUUUAAGAUGGUGACUGUGAAGCUCUUUGAAUAAGGUGCUACAGCAGCUUGCUUCAUUCUGGCUUUUUUUUUUUUUUACUGUAGGUGACUGAAUCCUGGUAGUUUUGUAAUAUUGUUAUUGAAAUGAUCUAUCGCAGAGAAUUGUAUAGCUAAGUAAGUUAUUGAUGUUCAGAGUUUUUCAAUGAGAAUUCAUCAUUGUUUCUUUAUUUCAUGUAUAGUUAUUAACAGAAGGAAAGAACCUAUAUCUUUUUUGUCGCUUUGAAAAUGUAGUUUGGAAUUUGUUCUUAAAGUGAAGAGGCUUUUCAGUAAUCGUGAGAACCAGUUUAUGUCAGUCUAAGCAACAGUAACGGGAUGAUGUACUGGGACGUUCCUGCGGCAUCGCAUUUGGGCAACGGCCUCCCCAACAUGCAACAAAUGAAGCCAUGCUAGCAGCUCUGCCAUGCUGUACAGUGGUGCUUUGAGAUAAAGGCUAACGCUAGCAUGCUAACAUGCUCACAACAACAACACUGACUCGUGUUGAUUUUUAUCAGGUAUAACGUUUGCCAUGUUUACCAUUUUAGUUUAGCGUGUUAGCAUGCUAACAUUUGUUAAUUUGCAGUAUGCACAAAGCACAGCUCAGGAUGAUGGGAUUCUCAUUUAUUUUGCAAGUAUUUGACCAUAAAUUAAAUUCUAUGACAAAUUACAAUUAAUCCUGGAGGAACCAUGAAUGUGUGUACCAAAUUUCAUUGCAAUCCAACCAACAGUUACUGAGAUAUUUCACUUAAAACCACAAAUGUCAACCUCUUGGAAUGUUUCUACAAAAUGUCUUAGGAAUCCAUCCAAUAGUUGUUGAGAUGUUUUAUUCUGGACCAAAGUGGUGGACAGACCGAUCAACAUGGCUAUCCCUGUAAACGUGCCAAUAGCAUGGCUUUAAAGAAAAUGACUGAAUGGUUGGACUGGAACUUUUGCCCUUUUUGCCCUUUCCCCAGUGCAUGGUCGCUUUGAGACAUACCAUACAUGUCUAGCAUACACAUAAGGUGCUAUCCUGUGUUUGAGCUUCAUGGGUGUGCCUUUUCCCCUCUUCAAUGACCACAAUAUUAUGAAACUUUGCUACAAACUAGAUUCAUUGCUUCAGCGGAGUCAAUUGUAACAUCUGUGAUGCCUGACAUUACCUGCUGCUACAUAUUUUUUCUAUUGGCAAAAGGGCAAACUCAACAAUAACCAUGUUUGUUAUGAAUAUAAUACCCUACAGUAUUGAAGGGAAUAUUACAGUCAGGUGUCUUUCUUAACUUUAUGAAUCCUAUGUGAUUUUUAUUUUUUUGUCCCCUGGAUUAAUAUUGAUUGUAAAUCAUCUAAGAUACAUGGGUUAUGAUAUAUGGUUGCUAAAAUGGCCGCCGCACACAGUAAACUACAUAGUUUUGAGUAUGAUAUGUGCAUGAGUGCUGACACUUGUGAUAAACCAGACUGCUACAGCGUUCAACAAGUUGCACGGCCUUUGCUGCAAGGAUUCAAGCUUUGACUGAUGCAACAUUUAGUCGGUGGUUUUUCAUUCAAGCCUUUUGUUCGGUCCGUAAUUAUAAAGUACAAAAGCAGCCCAUUUAGCAGAGGGACACUGAGCUCGGACUGAGACAAGUGCAGCCAUUAUCACAGCAUUACACAACCCCGGAUUCCAGGACAAAUAAACCAAAUGGCUUCAGUUCAAUAAAUCCGUUCAUUGAGGUUAUUUUCCGCAUGUCCAGUAGGAGAUGACACACACAUGUUUUACUUUUCAACACAAAUGAUCUUGUUGUGGAACAUUUUCUAAGUGAGGUUAUAUCUUUGAUUGACAAAUAACAUUAAGGUGUUUUUUUCUCUACUGGACAGGGUGCUGAUGUUAAAAAGUGUGUGAUUGUAACAUUUAUUCUUUCUAAACCAGCCAUAUACAUUAAAUGAUAUUACACUUAGACCUGGGGAUGAUUUAAAGUCCAUCCUACAGCAUCGUCAAACUUUCAUGAAUUAUUAAAAACGUACACACAGUCGCUGGGCGACACUGGGCGUUAUAUAUACAAAUGUACAUACAUAAGUGUGUGUGUGUGUGUGUGUGUGUGUGUGUGUGUGUGUGGGUUACCUGCAUUAUAAACUCAUUUUAACUCCAAAGUAAUUUGUUUUGACCUAUUUGCUCAGAGGUGGAAUGUUUUCACUCAAUAUUAUUAUUUACAGUGAUGCUGAACUAUGUCUAUUGAGUAUUUUAUAACUAUAAAACCAACGUCAUUAUUACUAUGAUUUUAACACAGUAUGGGUAUUAUAAUUGUUGAUUAUAUGUCUUACAUUACCAUAUUACAGCUAUUAUUAUUAUGAUGAUCUGAAGUGUAAUAUGAGCCUCUGUUUUAUUUUUUGUAAUUGUGAAAAUUCAAUAAAUGGGUGUCGACAAGGUCUCAUGUUGCCUGGAA